rnacentral:tRNA from 1 species
GGGCGGUUAGCUCAGUCCGGUCAGAGCGCCUCGUUUACACCGAGGAUGUCGGGGGUUCGAGUCCCUCACCGCCCACCA